GCUAGCGGCGUGCCUAAUGCAUGCAAGUCGAACGGGAUCCUUUGGAAUUAUUCUAAAGGUGAGAGUGGCGAACGGGUGAGUAACACGUUGGUGACCUGCCCCAGAGAGGGGGAUAACCAUUGGAAACGAUGGCUAAUACCCCAAAUGUCAUUACUGUUAGAGGGUAAUGACCAAAGCUCCGGCGCUCUGGGAGGGGCCUGCGGCCCAUCAGCUAGUUGGCAGGGUAAUGGCCUACCAAGGCGAAGACGGUUAGGGGACGUGAGAGCGUGACCCCCCACACUGGUACUGAAACACGGACCAGAUACCUACGGGUAGCAGCAGCAAGGAAUAUUGCCCAAUGGACGAAAGUCUGAGGCAGCAACGCCGCGUGGAGGAUGAAGGCCUUCGGGUCGUAAACUCCUUUUCUGGGGGAAGAGAAAGGACGGUACCCCAGGAAUAAGUCUCGGCUAACUACGUGCCAGCAGCCGCGGUAAAACGUAGGAGGCGAGCGUUAUCCGGAUUUACUGGGCGUAAAGCGCGUGUAGGCGGUUUUCUAAGUCGGACGUGAAAGCUCCCGGCUCAACUGGGAGAGGUCGUUCGAAACUAGGAGACUUGAGGAUGGUAGAGGAGAGUGGAAUUCCCGGUGUAGUGGUGAAAUGCGUAGAUAUCGGGAGGAACACCAGUGGCGAAGGCGGCUCUCUGGGCCAUAUCUGACGCUAAGACGCGAAAGCUAGGGGAGAGAACGGGAUUAGAAACCCCGGUAUUCCUAGCCGUAAACGAUGUCAACUAGGUGUAGGGGGUAUCCAACCCCCCUGUGCUGCAGCAAACGCGAUAAGUUGACCGCCUGGGGACUACGGCCGCAAGGCUAAAACUCAAAGGAAUUGACGGG
rnacentral:rRNA from 1 species